rnacentral:lncRNA from 1 species
GCCGAGUGGAACAUGCUGAUACAAGCACCCACUUGGAAACGUUGCAGAGGUGAAGUGCGCGCCCUUUCCGUGCAUUCACACUUUCCGGCUCUAAAUAUACACUUUGGGGCUCAACUUCGGGCCGUGCUGCAGUGCGUCACAACCAGGUCAGAGCCGUUCCUCCUCCUCGCGCUCGGGGCCGAGGCGCCCGCGCCGCGGCGCAGGGGUCACGCGUCGCCGCAGGUCCACCGUGUCGGUUACAAUGGCGCCACCACAACAGGAUUUGCUGCUGCAAGUUAGAUUAUGAGCUUAGUGGCUGCAGUGAGCGCAGGACACAAACACUGACAGGAGACGGACGGACCGCUGGAGGUUGGCGUGUGGGGGACACAGAGCAGAGAAGAAACGUCAGUGUGACAGGGAAGCACACUAAAACAGUGUCAAUUACAUUAGAGCGAAGAGGAGGCGAUGACGAUUUGUAAAUGGUCUGAAGACCUCCAUUAGUAUCUGCACGUGUGAUUUAUGGAGCCCAGUCGACUUCCGCUGAGGUCUAAUGUAACAGCUGAACGGCCAGGGCUGGAUUUAGCCCGGGUAUAAUGGAUAACUACACUCAGCUCUCAAACCGGCUGCAGCUCCGUCACUUUUAACGCGACGCUCCCUCACAGCCAGUAGCUGCUCCUGUUGAGGUUGUCCUGCCCUCGGCGCCGUCUCCAGCGACUCGGCCCCGCGGCCGAUCAUCCGUUCUGGAGCCGGUGCUGGACAUCAACGGCCUUUAAACCGCUCCGACAGGAGGGUGAAGACGCGUUUCCAUCGUCUGCCCGCGUUUCCCGUGAUUGUCUGGGAGGAUGAGAACAUCAUCAAUAACAGAACUUUAGGAAGCGAGUGGGUGUCGCACCAACUGCACGGACCUCCCACCAACGCCUCCGUGAGACUCCGGAAAAUUAAAUCCAACUCGAUCACGCCGCCGCGUGACGCUGGCGCAGCCGCAGCCUCCGAACACGAAGAACGGAGCAUUAGAAUGCGUCUGAGCUCAGAGACGAGUCUGGGAGGAGCUCCACCUGCUCCACCUGCUCCCACCGCGGCCCCAGAAGCACCCUCCAGCUUCCGAAGGCCCGCGAGGGUCCAUCUGCUGCUGGUCCAUACGUGGUCAAGUGUACGUUUACCUUUUGAAGGCAUCCGACGACUCAAUGCCAGCGAAUUACCAAGAAACAGUGAGGCUGCGAUUGCUGGCUCAAGCCAUUAAUUUCCCUGGAGAAAGAGUGCACUCUGCUUGGAGGGCCAGAGUGACCUUUCACUGACAGGACUGGAGCAGCAGAGACAGGCGGUGGACAAAUGAGAUAUUAGAAUGAAGGGAGUGGAGGAGAAUGCAGGCGGCCGCAUGUAUGGAUGCCUGACUUAUUUGCACAAGGAGCCGAUGCAGUGGAAUACGUGGACUAUUGUUUUAUUAAUAUGAUGUUGGUUUCUGCUGUCAACAGAUGUACUCACGCUGUGUUUUGGUCCAUUAAGAAAGAUGAACCUCUGAAUAAAUGUCAGCUUGCAG